CAAGUUUUGUAAAGGGCCUUUGGCAGCAAGAGUGUAAACAGAUAAAAACUGAACAAAAUAAAAAGAAUACUGCAACAAAAGGUGAAUAAAAGAAAAAGUACAGUUGAUUUCCUACACUGAAAGAAGAUCGUCCUUACAUUGCUAGUCAGAAUGAAUACUCUUCCGAUGAUCUUUGUUUUAAUGGUCACGUAUCUACCCUUAAUAGCAUGCCUCAAGGAUAAAACCAAGACAGAGUUAUGUGUUCUGGACAUUUUAGAUGAUUUUAACAAAAUGAAAAAGAGCAUAGCAAAACCUAAAGCUAAGACGAAGAAGACCCCAGCGUUUUUUGCAGUGUCUCGAAAGGUGAAUGCAGCUAAAGGAGGACAAACCGUCAGAUUUGAUCAAGUCAAACUGAAUACAGGAGGAAAAGCUAUCCCAUUUAAUCCUAAAACAGGCAUUUUUACAGCGACGAGAAAAGGUCUUUACUAUUUUUCCGCCAUGAUAUUGGGGAAUAGGAGAAAUGCAGUACAUUAUCAACUGAACAAGAAUAAGGAAAUAUAUCUUCUAGGUUACUCACACAGAGGAAGAGGUGCAGACUCCAGCACAAUUUCUGCCAUCAUGGAGUUAAAAGUCGGAGAUAAAGUAUACGUCAGGCAUAGAGGUACCAGGAGGGAAUAUUUUCAUGCGAAUGGCCACUCGACCUUUACUGGACAUUUGAUAGGAGAUUAAACCAAUAAAAACAUGGUUUUAUAAAUAAAUAAGCCAAUAGAAACAUGGUUUUAUAGAUGAAUAAGUCACUAGAAACAUGGUUUUAUACACGAAUAAACAAAAUCAAAACAUGAUUUGAUACAUGAAUUAACCAAUAAAAACAUCUGGAUUUUUUGU